rnacentral:rRNA from 1 species
UAAAGCUUAGAAGGUUGACCUCGGAUCAGGUAGGACUACCCGCUGAACUUAAGCAUAUCAAUAAGCGGAGGGAAAGAACCAACAGGGAUUGCCCUAGUAACGGCGAGUGAAGCGGCAACAGCUCAAAUUUGAAAUCUGGCCUCGGGCCCGAGUUGUAAUUUGUAGAGGAUGCUUUGGGCGUCGGCGCCUCCAGAGUUCCCUGGAAUGGGACGCCAUAGAGGGUGAGAGCCCCGUACGGUGGGAUGCCUAGCCUCUGUAAAGCUCCUUCGACGAGUCGAGUAGUUUGGGAAUGCUGCUCAAAAUGGGAGGUAAAUUUCUUCUAAAGCUAAAUACCGGCCAGAGACCGAUAGCGCACAAGUAGAGUGAUCGAAAGAUGAAAAGCACUUUGAAAAGAGGGUCAAAAAGUACGUGAAAUUGUUGAAAGGGAAGCGCUUGCGACCAGACUUGUGCCCAGUGAAUCAUCCGGCGUUUUCGCCGGUGCGCUUCACUGGGUUCAGGCCAGCAUCGGUUCUCUCAGGGCGUUAAAAACAGCGGGAAUGUGGCUCUUCAGGGAGUGUUAUAGCCCGCUGUAAAAUAUCCUUGGGGGGAUCGAGGACCGCGCUUCGGCACGGAUGCUGGCGUAAUGGUCAUCAGCGACCCGUCU